AACGAACGCUGGCGGCAUGCCUAACACAUGCAAGUCGAACGAGACCUUCGGGUCUAGUGGCGCAGGGGUGCGUAACGCGUGGGAACCUGCCCUUAGGUUCGGAAUAACUCCCCGAAAGGGGUGCUAAUACCGGAUAAUGUCUUCGGACCAAAGAUUUAUCGCCUUUGGAUGGGCCCGCGUUGGAUUAGCUAGUUGGUAGGGUAAAAGCAUACCAAGGAGACGAUCCAUAGCUGGUCUGAGAGGAUGAUCAGCCACACUGGGACUGAGACACGGCCCAGACUCCGACGGGAGGCAGCAGUAGGGAAUAUUGGACAAUGGGCGAAAGCCUGAUCCAGCAAUGCCGCGUGAGUGAUGAAGGCGUUAGGGUUGUAAAGCUCUUUUACCCGGGAUGAUAAUGACAGUACCGGGAGAAUAAGCUCCGGCUAACUCCGUG
rnacentral:rRNA from 1 species